rnacentral:rRNA from 1 species
UACGUAGGGUGCAAGCGUUGUCCGGAAUUAUUGGGCGUAAAGAGCUCGUAGGCGGCUUGGUAGGUCCGCUGUGAAAACUCGAGGCUCAACCUCGAGAUGUCGGCGGAAACCACUUGGCUAGAGUCCGGAAGAGGAGAGUGGAAUUCCUGGUGUAGCGGUGAAAUGCGCAGAUAUCGGGAGGAACACCCGUAGCGAAGGCGGCACUCUGGGCCGUGACUGACGCUGAGGAGCGAAAGCGUGGGGAGCAAACAGG